GGUCUGUGGGUCUGUGGGUGUUUGGGUGUUUGGGUGUGUGUGUCCAUACAGAAAAAAAACAACAGCUAACUA